rnacentral:rRNA from 1 species
AACGAACGCUGGCGGCAUGCCUAACACAUGCAAGUCGAACGAGACCUUCGGGUCUAGUGGCGCACGGGUGCGUAACGCGUGGGAACCUGCCCGUAGGUUCGGAAUAACUCCCCGAAAGGGGUGCUAAUACCGGAUAAUGUCUUCGGACCAAAGAUUUAUCGCCUUGGGAUGGGCCCGCGUUGGAUUAGCUAGUUGGUAGGGUAAAAGCCUACCAAGGCGACGAUCCAUAGCUGGUCUGAGAGGAUGAUCAGCCACACUGGGACUGCGACACGGCCCAGACUCCUACGGGAGGGAGCAGUAGGGAAUAUUGGACAAUGGGCGAAAGCCUGAUCCAGCCAUGCCGCGUGAGUGAUGAAGGCCUUAGGGUUGUAAAGCUCUUUUACCCGGGAUGAUAAUGACAGUACCGGGAGAAUAAGCUCCGGCUAACUCCGUG